rnacentral:rRNA from 1 species
AACUUGAGAGUUUGAUCCUGGCUCAGAACGAACGCUGGCGGCAGGCUUAACACAUGCAAGUCGAACGCGUGUAGCAAUACACGAGUGGCGCACGGGUGAGUAACGCGUGGAUAUCUGCCUUUUGGUUCGGAAUAACCCCGGGAAACUGGGGCUAAUACCGGAUGGUUCCUUCGGGAUAAAGAUUUAUCGCCAAAAGAUGAGUCCGCGUACGAUUAGCUAGUUGGUGAGGUAAUGGCUCACCAAGGCGACGAUCGUUAGCUGGUCUGAGAGGACGAUCAGCCACACUGGGACUGAGACACGGCCCAGACUCCUACGGGAGGCAGCAGUGGGGAAUAUUGGACAAUGGGGGCAACCCUGAUCCAGCCAUGCCGCGUGAGUGAUGAAGGCCUUCGGGUUGUAAAGCUCUUUUGGCGGGGACGAUGAUGACGGUACCCGCAGAAUAAGCCCCGGCUAACUUCGUGCCAGCAGCCGCGGUAAGACGAAGGGGGCUAGCGUUGUUCGGAAUUACUGGGCGUAAAGCG